rnacentral:rRNA from 1 species
GAUGAACGCUGGCGGCGUGCCUAGUACAUGCAAGUCGAGCGAACGGACGAGAAGCUUGCUUCUCUGAUGUUAGCGGCGGACGGGUGAGUAACACGUGGAUAACCUACCUAUAAGACUGGGAUAACUUCGGGAAACCGGAGCUAAUACCGGAUAAUAUUUUGAACCGCAUGGUUCAAAAGUGAAAGACGGUCUUGCUGUCACUUAUAGAUGGAUCCGCGCUGCAUUAGCUAGUUGGUAAGGUAACGGCUUACCAAGGCAACGAUGCAUAGCCGACCUGAGAGGGUGAUCGGCCACACUGGAACUGAGACACGGUCCAGACUCCUACGGGAGGCAGCAGUAGGGAACCUUCCGCAAUGGGCGAAAGCCUGACGGAGCAACGCCGCGUGAGUGAUGAAGGUCUUCGGAUCGUAAAACUCUGUUAUUAGGGAAGAACAUAUGUGUAAGUAACUGUGCACAUCUUGACGGUACCUAAUCAGAAAGCCACGGCUAACUACGUG